CCUACGGGCUGCAGCAGUGGGGAAUAUUGCACAAUGGGCGCAAGCCUGAUGCAGCUAUGCCGCGUGUAUGAAGAAGGCCUUCGGGUUGUAAAGUACUUUCAGCGGGGAGGAAGGCGAUAAGGUUAAUAACCUUGUCGAUUGACGUUACCCGCAGAAGAAGCACCGGCUAACUCCGUGCCAGCAGCCGCGGUAAUACGGAGGGUGCAAGCGUUAAUCGGAAUUACUGGGCGUAAAGCGCACGCAGGCGGUCUGUCAAGUCGGAUGUGAAAUCCCCGGACUCAACCUGGGAACUGCAUUCGAAACUGGCAGGCUAGAGUCUUGUAGAGGGGGGUAGAAUUCCAGGUGUAGCGGUGAAAUGCGUAGAGAUCUGGAGGAAUACCGGUGGCGAAGGCGGCCCCCUGAACAAAGACUGAUGCUCAGGUGCGAAAGCGUGGGAGCAAACAGGAUUAGAUACCCCGGUAGUC
rnacentral:rRNA from 1 species